rnacentral:rRNA from 1 species
UGGGCGAAAGCCUGACGGAGCAACGCCGCGUGAGUGAUGAAGGUCUUCGGAUCGUAAAACUCUGUUAUUAGGGAAGAACAUAUGUGUAAGUAACUGUGCACAUCUUAACGGUACCUAAUCAGAAAGCCACGGCUAACUACGUGCCAGCAGCCGCGGUAAU